AGCGUACACGGUGGAUGCCCUGGCAGUCAGAGGCGAUGAAGGACGUGCUAAUCUGCGAAAAGCGUCGGUAAGGUGAUAUGAACCGUUAUAGCCGGCGAUGUCCGAAUGGGGAAACCCAGUGCAAUUCGUUGCACUAUCGUUAACUGAAUACAUAGGUUAACGAGGCGAACCGGGGGAACUGAAACAUCUAAGUACCCCGAGGAAAAGAAAUCAACCGAGAUUCCCCCAGUAGCGGCGAGCGAACGGGGAGCAGCCCAGAGUCUGAAUCAGCUUGUGUGUUAGUGGAACGGUCUGGAAAGUCCGACGGUACAGGGUGAUAGUCCCGUACACCAAAAUGCACAGGCUGUGAACUCGAAGAGUAGGGCGGGACACGUGGUAUCCUGUCUGAAUAUGGGGGGACCAUCCUCCAAGGCUAAAUACUCCUGACUGACCGAUAGUGAACCAGUACCGUGAGGGAAAGGCGAAAAGAACCCCGGCGAGGGGAGUGAAAAAGAACCUGAAACCGUGUACGUACAAGCAGUGGGAGCACCUUCGGGUGUGACUGCGUACCUUUUGUAUAAUGGGUCAGCGACUUAUAUUCUGUAGCAAGGUUAACCGUAUAGGGGAGCCGCAGGGAAACCGAGUCUUAACUGGGCGUUAAGUUGCAGGGUAUAGACCCGAAACCCGGUGAUCUAGCCAUGGGCAGGUUGAAGGUUGGGUAACACUAACUGGAGGACCGAACCGACUAAUGUUGAAAAAUUAGCGGAUGACUUGUGGCUGGGGGUGAAAGGCCAAUCAAACCGGGAGAUAGCUGGUUCUCCCCGAAAGCUAUUUAGGUAGCGCCUCGUGAACUCAUCUUCGGGGGUAGAGCACUGUUUCGGCUAGGGGGUCAUCCCGACUUACCAACCCGAUGCAAACUACGAAUACCGAAGAAUGUUAUCACGGGAGACACACGGCGGGUGCUAACGUCCGUCGUGAAGAGGGAAACAACCCAGACCGCCAGCUAAGGUCCCAAAGUCAUGGUUAAGUGGGAAACGAUGUGGGAAGGCACAGACAGCCAGGAUGUUGGCUUAGAAGCAGCCAUCAUUUAAAGAAAGCGUAAUAGCUCACUGGUCGAGUCGGCCUGCGCGGAAGAUGUAACGGGGCUAAACCAUGCACCGAAGCUGCGGCAGCGACACUAUGUGUUGUUGGGUAGGGGAGCGUUCUGUAAGCCUGCGAAGGUGACCUGUGAGGGUUGCUGGAGGUAUCAGAAGUGCGAAUGCUGACAUAAGUAACGAUAAAGCGGGUGAAAAGCCCGCUCGCCGGAAGACCAAGGGUUCCUGUCCAACGUUAAUCGGGGCAGGGUGAGUCGACCCCUAAGGCGAGGCCGAAAGGCGUAGUCGAUGGGAAACAGGUUAAUAUUCCUGUACUUGGUGUUACUGCGAAGGGGGGACGGAGAAGGCUAUGUUAGCCGGGCGACGGUUGUCCCGGUUUAAGCAUGUAGGCUGAUUGUCCAGGCAAAUCCGGAUAAUCAAGGCUGAGGUGUGAUGACGAGGCACUACGGUGCUGAAGUAACAAAUGCCCUGCUUCCAGGAAAAGCCUCUAAGCAUCAGGUAACAUCAAAUCGUACCCCAAACCGACACAGGUGGUCAGGUAGAGAAUACCAAGGCGCUUGAGAGAACUCGGGUGAAGGAACUAGGCAAAAUGGUGCCGUAACUUCGGGAGAAGGCACGCUGGUGUGUAGGUGAAGUCCCUGCGGAUGGAGCUGAGACCAGUCGAAGAUACCAGCUGGCUGCAACUGUUUAUUAAAAACACAGCACUGUGCAAACACGAAAGUGGACGUAUACGGUGUGACGCCUGCCCGGUGCCGGAAGGUUAAUUGAUGGGGUUAUCCGUAAGGAGAAGCUCUUGAUCGAAGCCCCGGUAAACGGCGGCCGUAACUAUAACGGUCCUAAGGUAGCGAAAUUCCUUGUCGGGUAAGUUCCGACCUGCACGAAUGGCGUAAUGAUGGCCAGGCUGUCUCCACCCGAGACUCAGUGAAAUUGAACUCGCUGUGAAGAUGCAGUGUACCCGCGGCAAGACGGAAAGACCCCGUGAACCUUUACUAUAGCUUGACACUGAACAUUGAGCCUUGAUGUGUAGGAUAGGUGGGAGGCUUUGAAGCGUGGACGCCAGUCUGCGUGGAGCCAACCUUGAAAUACCACCCUUUAAUGUUUGAUGUUCUAACGUUGGCCCCUUACCGGGGUUGCGGACAGUGUCUGGUGGGUAGUUUGACUGGGGCGGUCUCCUCCCAAAGCGUAACGGAGGAGCACGAAGGUUAGCUAAUCCUGGUCGGACAUCAGGAGGUUAGUGCAAUGGCAUAAGCUAGCUUGACUGCGAGCGUGACGGCGCGAGCAGGUGCGAAAGCAGGUCAUAGUGAUCCGGUGGUUCUGAAUGGAAGGGCCAUCGCUCAACGGAUAAAAGGUACUCCGGGGAUAACAGGCUGAUACCGCCCAAGAGUUCAUAUCGACGGCGGUGUUUGGCACCUCGAUGUCGGCUCAUCACAUCCUGGGGCUGAAGUAGGUCCCAAGGGUAUGGCUGUUCGCCAUUUAAAGUGGUACGCGAGCUGGGUUUAGAACGUCGUGAGACAGUUCGGUCCCUAUCUGCCGUGGGCGCUGGAGAAUUGAGGGGGGCUGCUCCUAGUACGAGAGGACCGGAGUGGACGCAUCACUGGUGUUCGGGUUGUCAUGCCAAUGGCACUGCCCGGUAGCUAAAUGCGGAAGAGAUAAGUGCUGAAAGCAUCUAAGCACGAAACUUGCCCCGAGAUGAGUUCU
rnacentral:rRNA from 1 species